CUCAGCUCGAGAAGAAACAAGGCGGAGAUUGGAGAGUGAGAGCAAUGGCGUAUCUGGCCAGCCGGCGCAACUUAGCAUCGCUCCUUACCCGAACCGUAGCUUCUUGUUAUUCGUCGUCUUCACUAUCUUCUCGUUUUCUUUUUUCUCUCCUAGAGAAAAACACACUGUUUCAACUCCUCCCGGAUUCUGGCAAAAUCCCGGCCCGAUUCAAAACUUCAGGGUCGGGUUACUCGCCCCUGAACGACCCGUCUCCAAACUGGAGCAACCGGCCUCCAAAAGAAACUAUCCUUCUGGAUGGCUGCGACUAUGAGCACUGGCUAAUCGUUAUGGAGUUCCCAACUGACCCGAAACCCACCGAAGAGGAAAUGAUCAAUGCCUAUGUCAAAACCCUUGCUGCUGUUGUGGGCAGGUAAUGAAUUUAACUCCUUUUUCGAUUUGGAUUUUCUUUUUAAUUUUCGUUACUUGGGUUUUCGAUUUGUGAUUUUUUGCGUGGGGCGUAGCGAGGAGGAGGCCAAGAAGAAGAUUUAUUCGGUUAGCACGGUAACGUAUACCGGGUUUGGUGCUUUGAUCUCUGAGGAGCUUUCCCACAAAGUUAAAGGGCUGCCUGGUGUUCUUUGGGUUCUGCCAGAUUCAUAUCUUGAUGUUCCUAACAAGGAUUAUGGAGGGGACUUGUUCGUGGAUGGGAAGGUCAUCCACAGGCCUAUAUAUUGGUAUAACCAGAGACAGCAAAGUAGGAACAGGCCCCGCCCAAGGUAUGAUAGGCGCCGUGAAACAAUGCAGGUUGAGAGGAGAGAGCCAAGACAAAGACCACCUUCAAUGCAGGCUCAGGAGUCAGCUCAGGGCGGAGGGACAGAUUUAUCCCUGAACCAGGGGCGGUUUAACCAGGGUACUUGAGAAUUCACUAUAUAGUUAUUUAGCACAAGAAUUUAUUUUGUACUUGCAAAAAUUUAGAUGUUAGAAUGUCAAAUUAUGAAUUAUCAUUUUCCUUUUCUGUUGGAUACAGACUUGUUUCUUGCACAUUGAGUUUCGUAGUAAACUUGUGUGUUUUGUCUGACAUCUUUUACAGAUAAAUGAAAUGCGAGUCUUCUGGACUGUUUUCAAAAAAUUCUGCAUAUUGUUUGAUAAUUCUUCGCAUGAGUUGUAUUAUGCAUUGACAUUGCUAACUGAUAAGGUUGAAAAGGGCCCAAGGCCUUUUAAGGUAUAUUCUAGAAGAGCUAAAGGGCAGGGCAAAGGGAGUGGAAUCUCUCUGGAGGCUGCACAUGCGGAAUUAGUUGAUGGAAAGAACAAAAGAGAGAAGGACACAUGGCUGGAGGUGGUUAUAACGGAAGAAUUAGUUCCAGAAUUUAAGGGGAGUAGCAGGGGAAAUGAGGCAUCUUUUGGCUACUGAGAAAAGGGAGGGCAGGGUUUGUUUCCUCUGCAUGGGAUUCUUAUCCUGGGGGCUGGAUGCCAGUCAUUUAUCGUCUCUUUAUUUUCUUUUGAUUAUCGUCGACUGUAAGAAGUGUCAUAGGAGCUGUUAUGUCAUACUGAUUGUAUUCCUUGUUCUGUAAAAAGUUUGUGAAUCAAUACAAUCAAAUCUAUCUUAUUUCUUUUCAUUUCCAUUCCUAGCUUGUUUUCUUACUCUCUACUCUAUCAGUUACCACUUAAUAUAUAUUCACUUUCUCAAGGUAAAACUAGUACACUGCCCAGUGAAGCAUCUUCAAAGUACUGAAUGCUAAUAUUGUCAGCCAAAUGGAUCCAUGAGGGGAAAAAACUUUUCUUAAGCAAUGUUAUUACUUGUCAACUUAAAAUUUCAAAUUGAGCUUUUACAUUCUGCUUGUUAACGAUGAACAAAUGCUUCAAAGGCACCCACUUCCUAUGGAUACUAAAAUGAAAUCUAAGGAAGGUUUGCUCCAUUGUUAACUUAAAAUACACUGGUGUCGUCCACUCUAUCGUUGGUAGAGACCGCCAUGAUGAAAAUUGCAGUAUGUAACACUUGUCUGCAUGACUUUAGGUUGAUCAGUCACAGUUUGACCAAAUGUAAGCUUUUCACAUCCAAUAUCUAGGAUGCAGUUAUAAGGC
rnacentral:misc_RNA from 1 species